rnacentral:lncRNA from 1 species
AAGGCAAGGCUGAAAGGGGCGGGAAAAUCUGCUGCACCAUCUCCUUUGAGCAACCAGCCAAGUCAGAAUAUGGUCAUGUAUCAUGAAGCUAUGACAAUGAAAGCAAAAUCUGCAAGAGCUAAAAAGUACAACACCUAUUUGAAAAUGUUGGCAAUAGAUACCUCAAACUUCAAUGAAAAAGAAAAAACUAGGCAUGACAGCAUACUGGACCAGAUAGCAAAAGACUUGGCUGAGGAUUAGUGAGGAGUACAAAUGCAAUAAGAGAUGCAUGUAUCCCUAGUAUGUAGUGUAACUGUAGUUUUCAAGUUAAUUAGUUUAUGUAAUGUGUUGCAUGGUUGUACCCCUAGUAUUUAUUGUACUUGUUAUUUUUUUUAGUGUUGGCAGUGUAUUUGUAAUCAAAGCAGGUCUGUACCCCACUAUUAAUGAAACCAGCAGAUAGUUGUUGAGGAAAAUAUAGCUGUUGUGGUAUGGACAAAGCAUAUAGUUGUUGACAAAAAGGAUAAAAAAUGUAGCUGUUGAGAAAAGGACAAUAUUGUCUCAGCUAGAGUAUUAUGGCUUAUCCAAUUAAUUUAGGAUUGUAUGUUUCAAUUGAGUUGCUUUGUAAUAAUAUCUAUAAUAAAGCAAUUGUGCUCGUAUUGGUCUCUUCCUUUCAUUGUUCUCAGUUUGCAAAAAAAAAGGAAAUAAAUAGUCUCCAAAUAACUAGUCCAUGCGAACGAACUAAAUCAGUAGAGAUUCGAGGUAGAAAUACCUGAGCCAAGGCUUCUGCUUGUUGAUGCAUGUGCUUGCUCGCUGUGAGAUGGCCUUGGACGCACGAGAUCAUCGGCCAUUCGCUCGCCACGGGAGUUCGUUGCGCCGGCCGUCCGCGCACCACGGGAGCUCACCUCGCCGGCCGUCUGCGAGGUGGCUGCGCCUCAGGUCGCCAGCAGUACGAGAGGAGGCCGCGUCCGUCGUCGGCCGUUCGCGAGGGGGACCGCGCCCCAGGUCGUCGGGCGUCCGCAAGGUCGCCGCUCAAAGCCACCCGAUCUGAAUUUGGAGACUUCAUCAGGACAGGAAGCUACAGAUCCUAGUUCAUGCAGUACUUGAGGAGCUGGACAUGGAAGGGCAUGGCCUGAUUUGGUGGAAGGGGGGAGAUCGGGGACGGAGAUGACGGAGGCGGCGGCGGGCGGAGUUUUCCAGCAACUUGCGCGAAGGAUACGAGAGGUUGAGGAGGACCGAGAUUUUUAAUCCAUCAUGGGACCCACUUCUAUGGCCAGGUUGAGCCCUAUACAUUGUGGCGUUUGGAAUAACUAGUGCCAUCUGCUGUGGGACCCAUUCAUAUAGACUGGUUGAUCCCUGUAUAUUGUGGUUGCUCUAAAAGGGGUUGUAG